GCUCCCGUGGUGAAAUGGAUAUCAUGACAGGCUUCGAACCUGUUGUUGGGGGUUCGAAUCCCUCCGGGAGCACAA
rnacentral:tRNA from 1 species